UGGUUCAGGUGUUUGGUGUGGACCUGAGUACAGAGUAAAUGGGAUCAUGUCUUUCAUGCCUCCACAACUGAGAAGUGAACGUGGGGUUUUCUUCUCAAAUCUGAGCUCCUUCCCUGUUUACAGAGUGACGUCACAUCAGCACGACUGCACACAGCAUCAGAAAUAAACAAAGUCAAACUUC